GAAUAUUGCGCAAUGGGCGAAAGCCUGACGCAGCGACGCCGCGUGGAGGAUGAAGGCCUUCGGGUCGUAAACUCCUGUCGAGGGGGACGAAAUGAUCUUCCGCGAAUAACGGAAGAUCUUGACUGUACCCCUGGAGGAAGCCCCGGCUAACUCCGUGCCCGCAGCCGCGGUAAUACGGAGGGGGCCAGCGUUGCUCGGAAUUACUGGGCGUAAAGGGCUCGUAGGCGGUCUGAUAAGUCCUGUGUGAAAUCCCUUGGCUCAACCAAGGAAUUGCGCAGGAUACUGUCGGACUAGAGGCCGGGAGAGGGAAGUGGAAUUCCCAGUGUAGCGGUGAAAUGCGUAGAUAUUGGGAGGAACACCGGUGGCGAAGGCGGCUUCCUGGACCGGUUCUGACGCUGAGGAGCGAAAGCUAGAGGAGCGAAAGGG
rnacentral:rRNA from 1 species